rnacentral:rRNA from 1 species
AUACGUAGAUGGCGAGCGUUGUCCGGAAUUACUGGGUGUAAAGGGAGUGUAGGCGGGAUUGCAAGUUGAAUGUGAAAGGUGUGGGCUCAACCCACAGAGUGCGUUCAAAACUGCAGUUCUUGAGUGAAGUAGAGGCAGGCGGAAUUCCCGGUGUAGCGGUGGAAUGCGUAGAUAUCGGGAGGAACACCAGUGGCGAAGGCGGCCUGCUGGACUUUUACUGACGCUGAGGCUCGAAAGCAUGGGUAGCAAACAGGAUUAGAUACCCUGGUAGUCCAUGCCGUAAACGAUGAUUACUAGAUGUGGGAGGAUUGACCCCUUCCGUGCCGGAGUUAACACAUUAAGUAAUCCACCUGGGGAGUACGACCGCAAGGUUGAA